rnacentral:lncRNA from 1 species
UGGGCUUUGAAAUCCAUUACGGGCUUAACGAACAGGUAAUCUAACUACACCUGUCUAUUACCACAUAAAUCCUCUAUCAACCUACACUCGUCUAUUACCACAUAAAUCCUCCAUGUCCCACCAUUCUCUCUCCUGGGCCCAUCCAUCCUCCCACUAUUGUCUCUCAUGUUCCAUCCAUUCUCCUUCUCUGUUGUGCACAUCCAUUUCUACUUUCCCUCCUGGGUCCAUCCAUCCUCCCACUAUUGUCUCUCAUGGUCCAUCCAUUCUCCCUGGCUGUUGUGCACAUCCAUUUCUACUUUCCCUCUAAACUCCACUUAUAAGUGUUUGCAUGCACAUCCAUGUGUUUGCGCGCACAUCCAUUUCUAUAUCCCACACAUCCAUUUCUACGUCCCUCUAUCCCCAAUUUGGGUUGUAGCCAUCUUCGUCAGCUUGUAUGUAAAAACAAAAAUAAUAAUUAGUAGAAAUUACACAACACAAAAAUUUCACACAAUAUAAUCCUUAUAAGAGAUUAGUAAAAGUUCUAAUUACCAAACCUUAUAGUUUACCAAUCAAACUAGUUCCCAUUUUUUAACUUGUACCAUAAAUAUUUUGAAUUUGGUAUCAUAAAUUUAUUAUUUAUUUGAAAUUAUAUAGAGAGACAUUUGAAAGACUUUUACAAAA